AUACCUUUCUCGGCCUUUUGGCUAAGAUCAAGUGUAGUAUCUGUUCUUAUCAGUUUAAUAUCUGAUAUGUGGGCCCUCACGUGUUCCCUGGACAUUGCACUACUGUCCAGGUGUGGCGCACCCCAA
rnacentral:snRNA from 3 species